UUGUGGAUAACAUUGUAAUGGUAACGUUAAGCAAUAAUGUUUUUACCAUUUUCAUAACCAAUCAAAGGUAAGUCAGCCAGCUUUCAUCAGCCUUAUUCAAACAAGUUACUGUAUUAACUACCUGUUAAUGCCACAUUCCACUUCCUGCCUUCAACAUGUCUGUUAGCGCUCUUGUGCAUCUCGUAAUGUCUGUAUCGGGAGACAGCUAUAGAGUAAGCUGCCCUAAAUAUACUCGAGGAAAAAAAAACUUCCAGAACAUUCUAAAAAGCCCAACUGAAAUUUACCGAGCACUGUUCGCCAGAGAGACUGACAGAUAAUAAUAUUUUCUAUAUUUAUAAUUACAUUUUCUAUAUGUCCUUGUAUUUGAAAUAUCCUGUUUUAUCAUAUGUGUUUUUCUACCGAACAUGUACAAACUUAUUUUUCUCGUAUUUAUUCUCUAAACAAUACGGUAUACCAACUAUUUACAAAAUAAAUGGGGAACUACCGCACUAAAUUGAGAAGAACAGGGUGUGUAGAUGUUGGUAUAAAUGGAAACAAACAAGGUGUUCCAGGAAUGGCAUUUGAAGGCCGCAGAAGGUCAGAGAGGUUCGAGGUGAAUUAUUUACCAGGUCUCCCAGAUGGGCAGAAUGAAGAGAGCAUGGAGGCUGAGAGGACAGCCCUGGCUGAAGAAAUGAGAAAAAUGAACCGCAGUGCAACUGCCAUUGCAUCAAAGAUGGAGCAGAGCUUCCCACUGCAUAGACGGGAGAUUGUAGAGACUGGAGCCCCAGUGCAGGCAGUGAUGGAGAGGUGGCCAGCUCUUUCUACCGAAAAACAAAAGCCAGAUGUGACAGCAAUGAGGUUUCUUGUUCUCUAAAGCCUCCCUGUUCUACUUGGCGAUGAACCUGAUGACUUUUACAAGACUUGCUUUGAUUCAGAGAAUGAAGAGGCCUUCACUCAGAUGUUUGUAAGGGUGCUGACUUUAAUCAGUGAAGAUACACCUCAAUGCUCUCCAGAUCAGCUCCAUCCUUGGUGCAGUCGAGACUGCAGUCGUUGUUGAGGGAAAGAUUGUAAUGGGUGAUCUCUACAACCUUCCACACUUUGUCUCCUGUUUGGCCUGUCGUAUUCCUUGCAUUUAGAGUAUCCCAAGUCCAUGAAAAAUACUUUCAGCUUCAUUCAAAAAGUACUGCUUGGUUUGGGACAGAACAAGCUUUCGCCAAAACUGCAGACACUAAAAAAUGUCCUUUUGAGUUAGAUUUUCAUGUCGUUAUGGCCAUCUGAUUUACAAAUACAACCAAAACCCUGAUUUAAUUUUCAUUAUGGUGUACCAGGGAUGUACAAGAAUUCUGCGAUUCAGAAUGUUUUAUUUGAUUUGUUUAAAUGAUUUCGAACUGUUUUAAUAUGAUUUUCUUUGGGCAAUGUCUACAUGACUGUGCACUUUGAUAUCUUAUUUUUGAUGCCAUGAAGGACUACUUGAUAAUUACAGGGCAAGACAUUAUUUAUUAUUUUCACAAGAUGGCAAUGUGACAGACGUGAUCAAACGACAGAUUUGGUUUUUUUUUGCAUACUAGAAUAUACUGAAGGCAACAGCUGAAAUUGAAUAAAUAAUAUCAGGAAAAGUGGAAAUUAUUGCUCAUCUUUAUUUAAAAUUGUAUUUUUUUCUAUUAAAUUGGAUGCCGUGUGGUUGGAUGUAAACAGUAAGGGAAAAAUAAAUGGAGUUAUCUGUACCUGUCUCACUGUUUUAAUUCUUGGUUUAGGAUAAAAACAUGUUGAUGUUUAUUGUAGGAAUAUGAAAUCUGUUUUGUGUAGUACUGAAAUCACACCAGAAAACUUUACUUGGUCUUUUUAAUCAAUUAAAUCAAUCGGUUAACAUCGUUUUACCAAGUGAAUCUGAUUUCUAGUUUGAGUAAAUUGAACUAGAAAUACUGAGUAAUAGUUAAUACUACUUUAGUUAGUCCAACUUGAAGAAAUAUGUGAUUUGAAAUACAUUUGCAGUUUGCUUUACUGUACUUCAAAAUAAUGUGACCCCGUGGAGGUGUAGUAAACUUGUGAAAUAUUGGUCAUUAUAACAAACAAAUCCUAGUCCACAUUACUUGAGCUGAAUAAGUACAUUUACUAAAACUUUUCAAGGCAAUCGGUUUGCAUGCUUUUUUAAGUAAAGUCAACUAAUUGCAUUUUACAGUGUCAUGGGCUUGCCCGUAGUCUCUCCUUCCCUCUUUCUCUCUCUCUGCCUGUUCCUCUCCUGCCUACAGGGGGCGCUAUGACAUCAAGAAGCCCCUUUUGCUGGAAGGUCAUAAAAGUCAGCAAGAGGAGCCUGAAAAGGGAGAGGAGAGAUAUUUUUGUGCUGGCCUUUUUGUUAUCUCUCUGUGGGGCUGGGUACUAUUGUGAUAUAUUUUUUUCAUUGUGAUACUGUUUUUUCCGUUUGUAUGGUUGUGUUUGUAUACCACUGCUGGAAGGGGGUAUGCGCCAUUUUCUUUGGUUGCCUCCUUUGUACCUGUUUUGGUGUAGUCAGGGAGAUAAGGGAGGGUAGCUGUAAGUGUUUUUACUUUAUUUUGGUAGGUAAGUGUAGUGUGUGUUGGGUGGAGGCAGUUUGGGGUUUCUCUUUGUUAUCUUGGCCGGCUUGCCCCUGGAGAGAUGG